CAAAUAUUCAAAUGAGAACUUUGAAGACUGAAGUGGGGAAAGGUUCCAUGUGAACAACACUUGGACAUGGGUUAGUCGAUCCUAAGAGAUGGGGAAGCCCUGUAUCAAAGGUGCACUAUGCACGAACAUCGAAUGGGAAUCGGGUUAAUAUUCCUGAACUGGGACAUGGCGGCAGACGGCAACGUUAGGAAAUCCGGAGACGUCGUCGGGGGCCCCGGGAAGAGUUAUCUUUUUUUUUUAACAGCUUGCCCACCCUGAAAUCGGCUCAAUCGGAGAUAGGGUCCAGCAGCUGGAAGAGCAUCGCACGUCUUGCGGUGUCCGGUGCGCCCUCUGCGGCCCUUGAAAAUCUGGAGGACCGAGUACCGUCCAUGCUCGGUCGUACUCAUAACCGCAUCAGGUCUCCAAGGUGAACAAUCUCUGGUCAAUAGAAAAAUGUAGGUAAGGGAAGUCGGCAAAACGGAUCCGUAACUUCGGGAAAAGGAUUGGCUCUGGGGGCUGGGCCUAGGGGUCUGCGUCCUCAACCCGUGGGCCAUCAGUAGUCUGCCCGAGCUGCUAUCGCGGCGAGGGCGGGCAGUCGCGUGCCGAUUGGGCUACGGACGUAGAAUGUCCUCUCGCGGGGGCUUUUCCCUAGGCGGCGAACAGUCG
rnacentral:ncRNA from 1 species